rnacentral:lncRNA from 1 species
GCGCCUCUGGCACAACAGGGAGUUAUGUCCCCGGAAAUGAAACAGAGGCCACAACUUCCACAAAAGAGACUGGAACUGGAGCCCAAACAGGUGAGAAUGGAGAGCACAUGGUUCAGGGUCAUCAGGUUUCGAACUCUCUAGGUUUUUCUUGAGAGAGUUUGCACUUAAUUUAGGGACACUGUGAGUGAGUCAGAAUAGGUUUUCUAUUAGAGAUAAAAUCUUUCUGAAAAUUUACCAAAUUCCAGAAUUGAGCUUCACUGCUCCACGUCUGAAGAUGGGCUGGGAUUUCUCCGUUGGUAUUACAAAUAUUACCAGCAUAUUAGCUGGCAUCCAGAAAGUUUUCCUUUUUUGUGGAUUCCUUCUAGCAAUUCCAGUUGGCUGAAAUGCAAAGUGAUUUCUGCCCGAUGGAAAUCUUUGCCUGAGCCUCCAAAUUGCAGACUGUUAAUGCUUUACCCAAAUCCUUAAGCUUACAUACAGCAGAAUAUUCUCUCUCUCUUCUUUCUCCUCUUCAGAAGCCCAGACCACUGCACCAGGGAGCCAGGUCUCUGGCAGUCAAACAGGUUAGCAAAAGAAAAUAUAAAUACUUCUCUGAUAUUUGCCAAUAUUCAGAAUAAAGAGACUCCUAAGGUAAAAACAUGGUCUUACUUCAUUUUUUUUAGAAGGAAAAGUACUUGAGGAAUGAUAUUUUAGGGUUCCUCAUAUAGGCCUUCUAUGACUUAAAAGAAACAUAAUGUUUUUCUUCUUAGCCCUUCUUUUAAUGAAAAGGAAACGACUUAUCAAUCCCUUCCCGUUUGUGAUUCCAGGUACCAGUGGAGUAGUCUCUGGCACAACUAUCGCACCUGAACGUUCCAGGACUGGAACUACCUCUGGAGCAUCAGACCAUCGAGUCACUGAAAGCAAAACAGAUACAAUUGGUGUAGCUUCAAGUACAACUGUUGCACCUGGAAGUUCCAGUACAGGAGCUACCACUGGAGUAUUAGUAAAAGAAGGAACUGGAAGCACAUUAGGUAACACUAGGGUAGCUUUUGUCACUUCACUUGAACUUGGGAGCUCAAGCACAGAAGCUACAACACGCUCCAGAGGCAGUAGAACCACAGGAAUGAAUACAGGAACUACUAGAGUGGCCCCUGGCAGUACCAUCUCACCUGGAAGUUCCAACACAGGUGAAUCAAUGAGGAAACUGGCUGUAAUUUCUCUCUGGGGGCUAGCUCUGCAGCAUAGCACAUGAUACCUUUUUAUGACUUUCCAUUAGCCCUUACUACUUUCCUUCUUUUCACUCUCAGAAGCUACAACUUCCAUAGAAGGAAAUAUAACCAAUGAAAAUGGUAUUGACAACUUCUGAGUUCCUGCUAAUUUACAUUCUGCCAUUGCCUUUUCAUGGGGCCAUUUGUUAGAGGAAGCUUACAUUUAUGAAAAUCAUACCAUUUCUUCUGGGGGCAAAACAUAUGCUGUAAUUCUUAAGAGGAGAGUCCAGAAAGGUUCCCCUUUUGACAUUCAAGCUAUUACUAGUGUCAGAUGGAG